CAAAAGCCCAAAAGGAAGCCACGGCUAACUCUGUGCCAGCAGCCGCGGUAAUACAGAGGUGGCGAGCGUUGUUCGGUAUUAUUGGGCGUAAAGAGCACGUAGGUGGUUUUGUAAGUCAGGUGUGAAAGCCUUCUGUUCAAAGGAAGAACGGCAUCUGAAACUGCAGAUCUUGAGUGUAGGAGGGGAGAGUGGAACUUCUGGUGGAGCGGUGAAAUGCGUAGAUAUCAGAAGGAACGUCGGCGGCGAAAGCGACUCUCUGGCCUAUUACUGACACUGAGUGUGCGAAAGUUAGGGGAGCAAACGGGAUUAGAUACCCCGGUAGUCCUAACCGUAAA
rnacentral:rRNA from 1 species